rnacentral:rRNA from 1 species
UACGGAGGGUGCAAGCGUUAUCCGGAUUCAUUGGGUUUAAAGGGUCCGUAGGCGGUUUUAUAAGUCAGUGGUGAAAUCCGGUAGCUCAACUAUCGAACGGCCAUUGAUACUGUAGAACUUGAAUUAUUGUGAAGUAACUAGAAUAUGUAGUGUAGCGGUGAAAUGCUUAGAUAUUACAUGGAAUACCAAUUGCGAAGGCAGGUUACUAACAAUACAUUGACGCUGAUGGACGAAAGCGUGGGGAGCGAACAGG